UACGUAGGGGGCAAGCGUUGUCCGGAAUUAUUGGGCGUAAAGAGCGCGUAGGCGGUCCGAUAAGUCGGCUGUGAAAGUCAGGGGCUCAACCCUUGGAAGCCGGCCGAUACUGUCGGACUAGAGUCCGGAAGAGGCGAGUGGAAUUCCCGGUGUAGCGGUGAAAUGCGCAGAUAUCAGGAGGAACACCAGCGGCGAAGGCGGCGCUCUGGGCCGGUACUGACGCUGAGGAGCGAAAGCUAGGGGAGCAAACGGG
rnacentral:rRNA from 1 species